rnacentral:lncRNA from 1 species
ACGCAUGGCCUAUUUAUAGAUUACAUAUAAGGGCAAAAUGGUAAAAUCAUCUGUGGUUCAUGCGCUUGGCAUGAUAGAAGGGCAUGUUGGUAAAUUUGCCUUCACGCGGGAAAUCUCCCGCGUCUCUGGCGAUUCCGCUGAUGAAGGUAGUUCCUCUGGCGGAGGCUGCUUCUCUGGCGAGGGCGACUUCUCUGGCGUGGAUGACUUCUCUGGCGAGGGUGACUCCUCUGGCGAGGGUGACUUCUCUGACGCAUGAGAUGCCUUUAGUGGGUAAGAUCCCUCUGGAGAGGAUGAUUUCUUCUGACGAGUGUACUUCCUCUGCCAUACUUAUUCCGCUGGUGGAUUCGAUUCCUCUGUUUUGCAUCAUUUCCCUACUCUGCACAUAUCACUCCUCAUCA